AUUGAACGCUGGCGGAAUGCUUUACACAUGCAAGUCGAACGGUAGAGGGGGCAACCCCUCGAGAGUGGCGAACGGGUGAGUAAUAUAUCGGAACGUGCCCAGUCGUGGGGGAUAACGUAGCGAAAGUUACGCUAAUACCGCAUACGAUCUACGGAUGAAAGCGGGGGAUCGCAAGACCUCGCGCGAUUGGAGCGGCCGAUAUCAGAUUAGGUAGUUGGUGGGGUAAAGGCUCACCAAGCCAACGAUCUGUAGCUGGUCUGAGAGGACGACCAGCCACACUGGAACUGAGACACGGUCCAGACUCCUACGGGAGGCAGCAGUGGGGAAUUUUUGGACAAUGGACGCAAGUCUGAUCCAGCCAUUCCGCGUGCAGGAUGAAGGCCCUCGGGUUGUAAACUGCUUUUGUACGGACGAAAAGGUUUCUAUUAAUACUAGGAGCUCAUGACGGUACCGUAAGAAUAAGCAACCGGCUAACUACGUG
rnacentral:rRNA from 1 species